AGAGUUUGAUCCUGGCUCAGAACGAACGUUAGCGGCGCGCCUAACACAUGCAAGUCGCACGAGAAGGGGCUUCGGCCCUGGUACAGUGGCGCACGGGUGAGUAACACGUGGGUAACGUUCCCUCGGGCGGGGGAUAACCUUCCGAAAGGAGGGCUAAUACCGCAUAAGACCACGACCUCGCAAGAGGUUGCGGCCAAAGC
rnacentral:rRNA from 1 species